CGCGCCGUCGCCGGCUUCCACCGGACCAUUGCAUCCCCGUCACCAUGUCGGCGUCCAACGCACGGUCCACCGGCGGUGGUAACGUGCCCAACCCGCUUGCCGCCUUUCUCUCCUCCCCUAUCCCCUCGCACGAGCAGCCGCCGCCGUUGUGGCCUCCGCUUCGUCGCCACGUCAUCCAUCCUGUCGCGUCCUCCUCCCUCGAUUCCCUCUCCUCCUAUAGCUGUUGCGGCAAGUCUCCCGCUUCCGUUCUACGCCCCAUCUUGGUGCGCCGUGUGUCGGGCGGUGCGGCCGCUCGUGCUUGGCGAGGCAGAGGCGUCGCCGGUGUGCAGGGUCCUUUUCUCCCAUCCCUCAUCUCAAAUCCGGCCGCCCACUCCCUGCCAUCAGACGCCAGCCAGUUAAAGGAGAGGGAGAGCCAACGGCAGCAGCGGCAGCAGAAGGAGCCCGUCGAUCCUUUGCCGCCGGUGGGGAAAACGUCGCGAGCCGUCGCUCACCUGCACCCUGUCCUCUGGCGCCCCUGACGUUGCAGCGGCAGGAGGCCCUCCCAGGAGCUGCCAGGUGCCUGCUCCAGCGAUGGCCGCCAAGCCCGAGCACAUCUGCCGCACUGCCAUCGACCUCGGCAAAGCGUUGUGCGCUUGUGCCAGCAGGCCGCCCCCCGUGCUUGCAAGGUGUAUUUCUGUGCUUGCUGCUGUGCUACUAGUGCUUGCACUUUAGGUGUCUGACGAUAUGCCAGUUAAAGAAUAAAUUCGCUGCACCUUCUUUCAAUAUAUUUUGUUGAUUGCAUUGGAUAUGCGAAAGCUAUUUGAGAUACAAAUGUAGAGGGGCAGAGCUUCGCUUCUCUUUGAGCAUUUACAGACUGGGCAAUAUGUGUGAUGGUUUCACUAUUUCUUCCAUUCUUAAUUGAUAGAUAGGAAAGCUCUCUGAGAUACAAUACAUCUGAUUAUUUCUCAACUGUGACCUGUUAUAUGGUUAGUCUUGGAGUAACCUCUGAUUGCUGGGAGGAUUUCUGCUAACUUUGAAAGGGAAAAAUUCUACUAACCCCAGCAGGGGGGAUAUCUAGCAGUUAGGAUUAUGAGACAAUCCGGCAUGAUCUCUUCUUUGUCUGAUUUUAGGAAAAAUGUUGUAGAAAUUGCAUCAGCCAUUAAUCGACUGACUUCAUUUUAGGUCAAUCAUUUGUCAUCACAUGGUAUUUAUGUCAUAGCAGUAGAAAAACCUGAAAAUGUAAACUUCAUGGGGCUGACUUGGAAAUUUAAGUAUCUCAGCAGUUUUGCUAUACAACACCUUUCAUUUACAGAUUGGAGAUGCACAAAAAUUGGAGGUGGCUAGAUUUCUGUAGUUACAAAGUGCUCGAUACUAAUAAAAUAUACCUCAUGGCAUUUGGAACCUCCAUUUCCCUUCGGUUUGCUUAUCCCAGAAUUUUUUCUUAUUUUGUGAUGAAAGAAACCAAAGAUAGACAAGAUUGUAUCAGUGAUAAGGCAAAUGAACUCAUAAGCAAGGGUGAUAGGAUAUAAAAUAAUUUGUUAUUCUGUUUCCUUUGGGUCUCUUCUUACUGUACAUCAAAGAAAAAAAUGUAUCUACCUUGCUUUAUAUCUAUUUUUUAUGUAAGCUCCAUGGUGUUUUUCUUUUAUCCCUGCUAUAUGUCCAUAGCUAGAUGUUAUAAUACGCAUAUAACUAUCUUUGCUGAUGAUAUACCAGACAUUUUCAUUCUUAGUUGCCUAUGAAUUAUGCGAUCACUGGUUCCCAAAUAUUCUUAUCCUAUUUCCCGUAUUUUAUUUUAUGGGUUACUGUGUAGUUGUUUUGAUUCCUCUAUUUAACAGUUUCUGGAUGUAAUGUUCAAUGCAAAAGAGCUACUCCAUGUGCCUUCUAUUGCGAAAAAAGGUGAAUGCUCGGCCAAAGAGAUUUGAUGUUGCCGUGUUCUUCAAUAUAUAGGGGCAUGUAUUGUAUCUCCACCUUUGUGGUAUACACAUCCUACUUGAACCAGUUUUGAUGAUGUCAUAUUAUGUGUUUGCCUGCUGCCUAAUUAAGCAAACUGGUUACUUUCAGUGUGUAAGUAAAAUGAUUUAUCCGUGCUAUGCCUAAUGACUGAAAUCCUAUAUGCCCUUCUCUGCAGGUUAUUUCGUCAGAUGCUUUCAACCGUAUCGUUCUUUAUGUCUCUUUGGAGCCAAAUGCAGGGGCAAAAAUGUCAAAGGAUAAGAUCUCACUAAAGUAUAUGGUUGGUUGGUUGGCCAUAGUGUACUUCAUAUCCAAAAUGUUAUAGCGCCAUUCACUAAUGAACAAGGCUAUAAAUGGAUGCCUUUAUAUUCUUUUCUUUAUAUAGGAUCGAUUCAAUGAAUUGAAAUUGUACAGUUGUAGAUUUUUCAUCUGGUUCUUCCGAGUUAUAAGAGCACUUUAUGGUCGACACUGAAAGAAUCCAAAACAUUUGGAUGCUACAAC